rnacentral:rRNA from 1 species
UAGUCCAUGCCGUAAACGAUGAUUACUCGAUGUUGGUUCGCCAGUGUCUAAGCGAAAGUUAUAAGUAAUCCACCUGGGGAGUACGAUCGCAAGAUUGAAACUCAAAGGAAUUGACGGGGGCCCGCACAAGCGGUGGAGCAUGUGGUUUAAUUCGAUGAUACGCGAGGAACCUUACCUAGGCUUAAAUGUUAUAUGACAGCUUGUGAAAGCAAGUUUCCCUUGUGGCAUAUAAUAAGGUGCUGCAUGGUUGUCGUCAGCUCGUGCUGUGAGGUGUCGGGUUAAGUCCCAUAACGAGCGCAACCCCUAUCAUUAGUUGCCAGCAUUUAGUUGGGCACUCUAAGGAAACUGCCGGUGAUAAGCCGGAGGAAGGUGGGGAUGACGUCAAGUCCUCAUGGCCCUUACAAGCUGGGCUACACACGUGCUACAAUGGCGAUGACAGUGAGCAGCUAACCCGCGAGGGCAAGCUAAUCUCUAAAAGUCGUCUCAGUUCGGAUUGUU